rnacentral:lncRNA from 1 species
AUAAACCCAGUCACUGGCACUCCAGAGGCCAUGGUUAGAAACAUUACUCCUACAAAAGGAUGGACUGCAUGGCCAGAUAAGAAGUCAGAGGAUCAAGGCAGUUCAUUGAAGUAGACUGAUUCUUGUUAUCUUAAGGAGUUGACCUACCGUUGUACAUUCCUGUUCAGAACUGCUUUGACAAACACCUGGGAAUCGUGUCAAAAUAUUUGAAGAUUAUGAGAAAGAAAGAAGAUAAAGGUUUGAACUUUGUCUUUCUAGCUAUUUUUUUCCCCUGACACUUCGUGAAUACAAUUCAAA